GACGAACGCUGGCGGCGUGCCUAAUACAUGCAAGUUGAGCGCUGAAGGUUGGUACUUGUACCAACUGGAUGAGCAGCGAACGGGUGAGUAACGCGUGGGGAAUCUGCCUUUGAGCAGGGGACAACAUUUGGAAACGAAUGCUAAUACCGCAUAAAAACUUUAAACACAAGUUUUAAGUUUGAAAGAUGCAAUUGCAUCACUCAAAGAUGAUCCCGCGUUGUAUUAGCUAGUUGGUGAGGUAAAGGCUCACCAAGGCGAUGAUACAUAGCCGACCUGAGAGGGUGAUCGGCCACAUUGGGACUGAGACACGGCCCAAACUCCUACGGGAGGAAGCAGUAGGGAAUCUUCGGCAAUGGACGAAAGUCUGACCGAGCAACGCCGCGUGAGUGAAGAAGGUUUUCGGAUCGUAAAACUCUGUUGGUAGAGAAGAACGUUGGUGAGAGUGGAAAGCUCACCAAGUGACGGUAACUACCCAGAAAGGGACGGCUAACUACGUG
rnacentral:rRNA from 1 species